GUCGCUAGCCUGAUGUCCAUUCAGGAAGAAGCGGGUCUGAUUAGCUUAGCUAGUUUAGGUUGCUAAAAAUCCUUAUAGUGAAAAAAUGGCGUCGGUCAACCCGUUCAAUCUCAGCGACUCCGAGGAAGAGGCUGAACGGCGACCCAAUGAAACGGUUGACACCGCGAGAAGUCCCAGUGUAGGGGCGCCAGGGCCGCCGCCAGGCAAUCCUUUCUCUCCACCUGCGGACGCCGAGCCCCCGACACUCCUGCUGUCUAGCAACCGGACGAGCCCCAGUGGCGGCGAGGGCUCGGUCUCGAUAGCGGCUAUCUCCGCGAUGGCAGGCGCUACCGAGACACGGAUAUCUGUGGACGGCAUUGCUGCUCAGCUAUUACGGGACCAAUACCUCCUCACGGCCCUUGAGUUUCACACAGAACUGUUGGAAGCAGGCAGAGAGCUGCCGAGGCUCAGGGAUUAUUUCUCUAACCCUGGCAACUUCGAGCGUCAGAGCGGCACUCCGCCCGCCAAAGAUCAGGUACUUGGACCUGGAGGACCACUGAAUCGAGCAGGCAGCAUCAGCACAUUGGACUCUCUGGACUUUGCCCGUUACUCAGAUGACGGCAACCGAGAGUCGGACGAGCGAGUGGCAGUGCUGGAGUUUGAGCUACGGAAAGCAAAGGAGACCAUUCAGGCUCUGCGCGCCAACUUGACUCACGCAGCAGAGAGCGAAGUUCCCUCUCAGGAGAGAAAAAACUACAAGUCAAGUCUUGAAAUUCAGGAGCCUAUACGCCCACUGGAGAAAAGAGCCUUAAACUUCCUUGUAAAUGAAUAUUUAUUAAAAAAUGAAUACAAACUCUCAUCCAUCACCUUCUCUGAUGAAAAUGAUGAUCAGGACUUUGAGUUGUGGGAUGAUGUCGGCCUCAACAUCCCCAAACCCCCCGACCUGUUACAGCUUUACAGGAACUGUGGUACCCCUCUCCCUUCUCCUCGGGACACGGUUGAUGUGUCAGUAGGGGUGGAUUUUGGCGAUCUUCCAGGAAACUGCAUUGCCCAAGAUCCCCCAAAAAAGCCUGACCUCUCCCAUCAGCAGCAGACAGAAGUUGUCCAAGAGUUGGAAUACCAGAUAAGCCUCCUCAACAAUGAGAAACAGAGCCUAGCUGAGCAGAUCAAGAAACUGCAGAGUGAGAUUCAGACACUGAAGAGGACCGUCUCCUCCCCACCUCCGGCCACUCUGGACCUGGGCUCCCAGAAUACAUCUCACCGCUUGUCGUCAUCCACCACCACCACUUCCUCCACUGACCCUCUCUCUGUGCCUCCUACAGAUAACGGCCAGUAUCUGGACAUCCGGGGGGUUUCAGAGCCUGAAACUAAAUCAGACCCCUCCUCUACUCAGACCAUUUCACAGCCUCACCCACAGUCCCUUAACACGCUUAAGAGGCGGCCUCCUGUCCAGUUUGCGCAACCUAACAGAAAGUUAUCCCCGGCCUUCCAGCAAGCCCUGCUGUCCUUCUGCAGAAUGUGCUCCGACAGCCGCCUGGGAGCAGAGGUGUCUCGUAUAGCAGACAGUGAGGAGAGUGUGAUGUUAAUGCUGGGCCGCUGCCUCCCUCACAUCGUCCCGAAUGUCCUUCUUGCUAAACGAGAGGAGUUGAUCCCGCUCAUCUUAUGUACCGCCUGCCUUCACCCAGAGCCUAAAGAGAGGGACAAGCUCCUCCAUAUCCUCUUCAACCUAAUCAAGCGACCAGAUGAUGAGCAGAGACAAAUGAUCUUGACUGGGUGUGUUGCGUUUGCGAGGCACGUGGGUCCCACGCGUGUCGAGGCUGAACUACUUCCUCAGUGCUGGGAGCAGAUUAACCACAAAUAUCCAGAGAGGAGAUUGUUGGUGGCAGAGUCCUGUGGAGCCUUGGCACCAUACCUGCCUAAGGAGAUCCGUAGCUCCUUGGUGUUGUCCAUGUUGCAGCAGAUGCUCGCUGAGGAUAAGGCUGACAUGGUCAGAGAGGCUGUGGUCAAGAGUCUCAGUAUCAUCAUGGGUUACAUAGAUGAUCCUGACAAGUACUCCCAGGGUUUUGAGCUGAUGCUGCUGUCCCUUGGGGACCCAUCAGAGCGGGUGGUCAGUGCAGUCCACCAGGUCUUCAUUCCUGCCUUUGCUGCCUGGACCACAGAGCUGGGCACCCUGCAAACUGCGCUCAUCCCUUCUCUCUUGGCGCGUAUAGAGAAACUACUUAUGCAAGGAGAACAUGUUCUGGAUGAAUACAAGCUUCACGUGUUCCUGUCGGCCCUGCAGUCUCUCAUCCCUCCUCUGUUUGCUGUGGUGCUGCAGAAUGCACCCUUCACCAGCAGAGCCAAACUCACCGGAGACAUAUCUGCAAUAGAGGUGACCCGGUUCCCAAGGCCAGCUUCUCCCCUCCAGGAUGUGGCAACCAUCAUCGGCAGCAGAGAGAUGCUGAGCGCCCUGCUGCUACUCUACGACUACCAGCUAGAGCAUGAAGGAACCACUGGCUGGGACAGCCUGCUCUGGGUGGUCAACCAACUCCUUCCGCAGCUCAUAGAGAUCGUUGGUCGCAUCAAUGUGACGUCAUCGUCCUGCGUACAUGAGUUCUCUCGCUUCUUCUGGAGGCUCUGUCGCACCUUCGGCAAGAUCUUUACCAACACUAAGGUUAAACCACAGUUCCAAGAGAUCCUCCGACUAUCUGAAGAGAAUGUUGAUACUUCAGACGGGAACGAUAUUCUCACCAAAGCCACAGUCCCCAUCUAUGCCACUGGAGUGCUGACUUGUUAUAACCAGGACGAGGAUCGCAAGUUGUUGGUGGGUUUCCUGGAGGAUGUUAUGACAACCCUAUCUCUGUCCCAUGCACCUCUCGACAGUCUGAAGGCCUCCUUUGUAGAGCUAGGUGCCAACCCGGUGUACCAUGAAUUGCUGCUCACUGUUCUGUGGUAUGGGGUCGUCCACACCUCUGCUCUGGUCCGGUGUACUGCAGCACGGAUGUUUGAGCUACUGGUGAAGGGGGUGAAUGAGACGCUGGUAGCUCAGAGAGUGGUGCCGGCUCUCAUCACAUUGUCCUCCGACCCUGAAAUUUGGUUCUCCGAGGCAUGAGUGAAGCAUUAGUAGAUCGUCGUGCGGCUCCGGCCCUUAUAACUCUGUGCAGUGGGCCUGAAUUCUCAGUGAGGAUAUCAACUAUACCGGCCUUUGGUACCAUCAUGGAGACCGUCACACAAAAAGAGCUGCUGGAGCGUGUUAAAAUGCAGCUGGCAUCCUUCCUGGAAGACCCGCAGUACCAAGAUCAGCACUCUUUGCACAUGGAGAUCAUCAGGACGUUUGGAAGAGUUGGACCCAACGCAGAGCCGCGCUUUAGAGAUGAGUUCGUGUUGCCACAUCUUCACAAGCUGGCGCUGGCUAACAACAGCCAGACGGCGGAGAGCAAGAGGAUCGACGUUGCCACCCAGCUGUUUGAGGCCUACAGCGCCCUCUCCUGCUGCUUUAUUUCCGAGGAGGUGAUGGUCAACCACUUCCUGCCUGGCCUCAGGUGUCUCCGCGCUGACAUGGAGCAGCUCUCUCCUGAGCAUGAGGUUAUUCUAAGUUCUAUGAUCAAAGAGUGCGAAAUCAAGGUGGAAAACAGAGGAAUGGCUGACGCACAAGGCUCCAUGUCCAUUGCCUCCAGUUUGGUGGGUGAAGAUGCCAAGACCAAGUUCCUAAGCAAGAUGGGCCAGCUAACCACCUCCGGCGCCAUGCUGGCAAACGUCUUCCAGAGAAAGAAGUGAUCGAUGACUGCAACUCACUGACAAUCCCCUGCUGUCUUUUGGAGCAUUUCAUUCUACUGGGAAAGGCAAUGGUUCAGUUUAAAGUAGAACAAAAUCGUGUGUAAUGUAGUUCAGUUUCAAGAUAUCAAGGUUUGCUGAAAGUUCAAUUGAUUUAAAACCUCCAGUGCAGCAGGACUCCGUGCUCUUUUAAGGUUAAAAGCAAUGUUUUUUUUUUAGCAGUGACAGCUGAGGUUUUCAAAAGCAUUGUCGAGGACAAGGGAUUGCUUUUGUGAAAUCGGUGUUGUCAACAUUUGUCAUUUGAGAACGAGGGGAGAGAGAGGAAGACACUGAACAGUGUUGAGAUGCACUCAGAGUGAUAACAAGGGACUUGUUUCUCGGACGUUUCUGGACUUAAAAAAGUAUCACAAGAUUUCAUUUGAUUUCACCGCAGUACUUCUUGUAUCAGAAGAGCUUCACUCAUCAUUAGGAAACAAAACUCUGAGCACGACCUGCUGGAUUUCAUUUAGAAUUUCAAACCCCACCUCGGAGCAAAAGGUUGUACGAUAGAUGCAUUAACAUGCAUUUAUUAUCUAAUUAUUGUACCGAAAGACGAUAAAUGGCUCUGUUAAGAAUGCCUUGUACAGUGCGUCUGUGCGGCUCUCUGAAGUAUUGCAUACUUGAAGCUAUGAAAAAAAUCUGUCUCGCCUUUUAUUUCUUCAAAGUCUGUCACUGUUUUUGUUUUUGUUUUGACAGCUUGUAUUUUAUAACUUAUUUAUGUCUUAAUGAAAAAGAAAAGAAACUAUUCUAACUUCCAAAGAAAUUUGCACUUCACCUUCCUAUUUUCUAUUUUGUUCUUUGAUAUGGUCUGUCUAUGUAUGAUUUGUUUUAAUUCAGACUCUUAUACAUGAUGAACAUUAUCACUACUGUUAAUGGAUUUAUUUUUUGUUUAUCCGUUUUGGCAAUGUGAAGUCGGAAGGGAACACUGCUGAUAAUUAUUCCUUCUGUCCGUUGCAUCUUGUCUCUGUGUUGCAGUGUCUCAGAUAACUGUACUUUUUUCUUUUUCUAAAGUGGGUAUUUGGUUCUAUUUUUGUUGUUCUUUUUAGAUAUGCUCUAUGAGAAAUGACUAUCAUACACUGUACUGGAAAGGAUGGUACUCAUGUAUAUUUGAAAUCGGUGUCAUGGUGUAAUAAAAGAUGGAGAUCAGUUGUGUACUUAAA